rnacentral:rRNA from 1 species
AACGAACGCUGGCGGCAGGCUUAACACAUGCAAGUCGAGCGAGACCUUCGGGUCUAGCGGCGGACGGGUGAGUAACGCGUGGGAACGUGCCCUUCUCUACGGAAUAGCCCCGGGAAACUGGGAGUAAUACCGUAUACACCCUUUGGGGGAAAGAUUUAUCGGAGAAGGAUCGGCCCGCGUUGGAUUAGGUAGUUGGUGGGGUAAUGGCCCACCAAGCCGACGAUCCAUAGCUGGUUUGAGAGGAUGAUCAGCCACACUGGGACUGAGACACGGCCCAGACUCCUACGGGAGGCAGCAGUGGGGAAUCUUAGACAAUGGGGGCAACCCUGAUCUAGCCAUGCCGCGUGAGUGAUGAAGGCCUUAGGGUUGUAAAGCUCUUUCAGCUGGGAAGAUAAUGACGGUACCAGCAGAAGAAGCCCCGGCUAACUCCGUG